rnacentral:rRNA from 1 species
AAAAUUAAACUGAAGAGUUUGAUCAUGGCUCAGAUUGAACGUUGGCGGCACGCCUAAUACAUGCAAGU